AUAAUUUUGAACUCAUUUGUUUACUAUUAUAGGUCAGUUCGCCAAGUGAAGUUAAAUAUUUCUUCAAAAGCUUUUCUUAUAUACGCAUCCAUUCUCAUCACAAUAUCAGGUCCUUGAGCAUUCAGGCGUAGCUGAGUCAGUUGGUCUGCGGUAUAGAGAUGCCCCUGUGAUAGUCACUACAGUAAUUGGUCAGAUGCUUCCGAAGAUUAUGGAGUUAGUGGGUCUCAGAUACGCAUCCACCAAAGCAAAAGCAUGAUAACAAUGCCCACAUUGUCUCAGCUCAAGCUUCCAAACUAUUAAAAGCUAGGUAUCCGUAUCACACAUAAAAAAUUAAGAAACAAAAGUUAACUUUAAUUAUCCAUCAUGUACAUGGGAUGUUGUGCAGAGCCUCAGUGAUUGUCCGUCGUUGAAGGAGAUUCUUCCCGAGUCGAUAUACUUAGCUAUCUUUAAGUUGUCGUUUGACGAGCAUGAAGUUCAUGGUGGUACAGAGGUUAGAGGAGGUACUCCCGUAGGGAGCAGCAGAACGAUACAACGUUCUAAUGCAGAUGACGCUGAUAAUAGGGAUACCGACAACAACGAUGACGAGGAGUGAGUGAGACUUGUGUUAAGACAUAUUAUGACUUUUGAAUUUUACCUAUAUGUAAUAUAUUUAUGAUUUUAUUGCGUAGUGAAUGAAUAUUAUUUGAGCAUGCGAGAUGUAUUGUGAUUGUGAUUAUAUGAUGAGUAUUGUUCGAUAUUGUGGAUUGACGGAUGAAAUUGGAUGAGUAUUCAUUUGGAAUGUGAAUGUAUAUCA